UCUCUGGAGAAUCCCGUAUUAAAGGCGGGUGCCGAAGGGGCAAGGCUAUACCACUGCGAUAGCCGAAACUCUCAGGCUCAAGGACAGAGUU
rnacentral:ncRNA from 1 species